GUUUCUCUGGGUUACUAUUUUUCAUUUCAUUUCACUUUAUUUUUAUUUUUCCCAUUAAUUUUCAUCGUUAUCUGAGUGUGAGAAGAGCGCUGAGAAGUGUUGAAUUGAAGAACGGGACAGCUUUCUUUAGUGGGGAUGGUGGAUCGAAAUUCCAACCUCAAUAGAAGGGGUGCAAAUCAUUUAUUAUCAUUUGUUUGUUUGGGAGACACAAGUAGAGCAAACCACUCAUGUUUUAUGGUAAGUUGUUUGGAAUAUAGAAGAAACUUGUUAUACUAAGAAUACAAAAUUACAUCAAGAGACGUAAGUAGAGCAAACCACUCAUGCUUAAGGGUAAGUUCUUUAGAAAACAAAAGAAAAACUUGUUCUUAUCUUCUUAGACCCAAGUGUGACAUAACAUUGUGACAAUCUUGUACAUGGAAAAUGAGACAUUGGCCAAAUUGGGCACAAAAGACUUCACCUCAUCAAUGAAAAGAGGGCCUUGGUAAGAUCUACAAAAACUUCAUUUAGUAGAUUUGACGACCCCUAGCCUGUUAGACUCAUCUACGACAUGCUCAAUGUAAGAAAAAAGUAAUACCAUGAAGACUAUCUUGAGUAGCUCUUGCUUCAACAAUUUUGACCUUAUUGCAUCUUGGAAAGAAUUUUAACCCAACAAGGUGAAUAAGAUCCAAAUUAUUCCAAAGCACUCACUCCAACCCACUAGUUAGAUUGACAUAGCUCCAAGAAGCGUCAGUGUUCAAUUUCUUAAUGUUUGUCGAAGGAGGGUGUCAACCAACAAAAUAAGGCGAUUAGGGAGAAACUGGAUCUCUUUGCCACGUUUUUGUCAUUUGUAUCCAUACGUACCCGUAACUUUUGCUCUCUUAAAAAUGUUUUUAAGUUGAAACAUUAAUUGAGUCAAAGUUUGUUGA